AUGAGAAGAAAGCAUUGAAAGCCAAUUGGGAUGCACAUAUGAUUGAAAAAGUUGAUACUGGAAGGUACAUAAGACCAACUGAGUAAAGAUAACAAUCUGCUGCUAUGAGUAGGCCAAGAACCAAGUAAAUUGAGGUCACAAGUAAGGUAGAUGGUUUUUCUGAUUGGACAUAAUGAGUGAUGGGUAGUACUAUUAGUAGUGUUGUUAUUGGUUUUGUAUUGUUAUUAGUAGUGUUUUGAUUGGAAAGCUAGCUAGCUGAACUAGUGUAGUCUUCCAUUUGCUUUUUUCCACCUCUUUCAUAGUAAUAAAAUUUCUACUGCCUAGCCACAGAGACCAAGGAAUGAAUAAAUCCCAAUUCGAAUCCAAACUGUAAGUUUUCUGGUUUGAGUACCAGUUGAGUGGUUGGAUUCAUUUGCAAAGCCAUGAGAAUCUCCUUCAUUAGCUUCCUCAGCUGGUGAAGAUACAUAUACUUUACUUUAGUAAGUACUUCUUUAGUAAUUAAUAUAUGAAUAAUUAGCAUUUUUGCCUCCUAAACUUUUUACAUUAUUAAGUUGUGCCGCUAUACGGCUCGGUAAUAAUAUCCCUCGAAAUAUAAUUUUUACAGUAAUGUGGUCCUUCACUCCUUCUAUCAUAUUCCAUUCAAUUAUAUUGUGAAACAAGUGAUGUGGUGAAUGAUAGUUAAUAAAUGAAUACUAAUUAAAUAUAUUUCACUCGUUCUACUUUAAUGAUCCAAAAACUAAAAAUAACAAUAUAAACUGUUAUAAAAAGAAAAAGUCUUUUAUUCUAUUAUUCAUUAACGUAAAAAGUGAGAAUGGUAUUUAAUUUAGAUAAAUUUAUCAACUACCAUCCACCACUUCACUCAUUUUACAAUAAAAUUGAAUAAAAUGUAAUGGUAGAACUGCAUUACUUUAAAGGUUAUAUUUUGAAGGGUAUUAUUAACAAGCUGUGUACUAUAAGAGGUACAUCUUGGUAGUGUAAAAAAUUAAGAAACAAAAAUGCUAAUUAAUAUAUACACAUAUUUAUGAAAUCAAUUCAAUUGAGUUUGUAGUACAAAACCAAACAGGUCACUUACCCCUGAUGCUGAGUUUCACUUGUUGAGCUUCUCCCAUGUCAAAAGAUGAACAAACUUUUACAAACAAUGGUUGGAUUGGAACAUGGAGAGAAAGAAGCCUUAAUUGUAUUCAGGUACUAGGCACUGUUAUAGAUGUAGACUGCAUUAAAUAUUGCAUUACAAAUAAGAAAUAUCUCAUGGGAUCAUGCUAGAGCUGGCAAAAAACAAUUAUAACCACAUUUUGUUGUCUUGGUAUUUAAUAACGAUUGACUAUUCAAUGAUUGAUGAUGGUAGUUGAAGAUUUGCAUUAACAUAUUAAUUUAUUCUCUAAAACAUAUGAAAAGUCAUUCAUAAAAAUUAAUAAAAAAGUAAUCCACUUAGAUUAUAUUUUUUUAUAUUUACGUAAGUUAUUAUAUCAUAUAUCUUUCUAAUAAUGCAUCAUUUGCAAGUCAAACAUUCUCUUUUAGCUUAAUAGUGUUUUGUACAUAAAUGAUAUGCACUAUGAAUUUUGAUUGGACCAACCUGCAAAGUUCAUUACAUUAGUUGAUAUGUUGAGGAGAAUAGAGGUGAUUAUAUGAGCAUAAAUGAAACAUUAAGGCCUCAUUUAGUAAGGGUCGUAUUGUAUUAAAUAAUAAAUAAUAUUAUGUUUGGAUAAAACAAUGUAUUGUAUUAAUUAUUACGACCAAAAUUUUUAAUACAAUGUAUGUUGUAUUAUUUAAUAUAUAGUCCGUAUUAGCUUGUAUUAUAAUAUUUAUAAAGGAUUCGGAGUCAACACCAAUCUCUAAUCUAGACUUGGGACCCAAAUUUGGAACCGGACCCCGACCCGGACACUGGACCUGGACCCGGCUCCGGCCCCGAAACCAGGCCCCGGACCCAGAUCCUAGACCCCGGACCGCGGACAUCAGACUCCGACCCGGACCCCGGACCUCGGACUCCGACCCGGACCCUGGAUGGACCCAGGACCCAAGACUCGGCCCCAGACCCCGGACCUGGACCCGAACCCAGACCCUGACCUUGAUCCGAACCCGACCCGGACCUGGACCCCGACCCAGACCCAGACCCGAUCCCGAACCCUAGAUCCGGACCUCGACCCGGACUCCGACCCCGACCCGAAUCCAAAUCUGAACUUGGACCCGAACUCGGACCCCGGACCGAGACUCGAAUUAAAUAAUACUAAUAUAAUAUAAUACAACACAGUUUAUUAAUACAAGUCAAUACCAAACAUAAUGUUGUAUUAAAUAAUACUAUUAUAAUACAAUAAAAUACAAUUCAACACAAUACAAUAGAAUACAAUACGGCGUACUAAAUGAGCCCUAAGACAAUAAAUAUUGUAUACUAAAGAGUGAUUUUACCUUGUGAGUAACUAGAUACAAUCUUUCAUUUUAAUUUAUUCUUUUACAUUUACAUGUAUAGCCCUCUUAGGAAACAAGCUAAACUAGUUCAUAAAUUCAACCAUUGGUUAUUGGAUUGUCAUUCUUGGAACUUUUAUUGUCAAGAUAGUUUUGAUAAACAUAUGAAACAAAGCCCCAAACAGCCAUAACCAUAGACAUAGCCUUGAUCCCAUUCAUCUUUUCAUGGAAUAAAAACACAGCCAUAAUUGGGACAAUAGGCAAACCCAAAACACUUAUGACAUUUGAGAAGAGGGAAGAGACUUCUAGUAUUAAACCCAAUAAUCCAAUAGAGAAAACUUGCCAUGUUAUGGCUAUCCAUGAUAAUGUCAUGACAUAUGAAACUUUCCCAAGUUGAAACUCAUUCAUUUCUUCCCUCAAAGUUGACCACUCACUGCUUGCAAAAAGUCCCACAAGAAUUAUAACUGUUGCCACAACUGAUUGAUACACUAUGACAUCAAUGAUUACUGAAAAGCUUUCCUUCUUAAGAACUUUAUUCAUGAAAUACUGCAUUAAAGAGAGACCCAAUCCAUAAGCUGCAGAGCCAGCCACAGUGCAAACAAAACCAAUUGCAUACUUCCCUUUUGAGACUUUAGAAGAUAUUUGAGAACUGGGCUCUAAUACCAGCAGAACAGAAGAGAUGGUGAGAAGAACUAGGGAGUUGAUUAUGUAAGGAGUGAACUUAUGUGAGUUUAGAAAGAAUGAGAAGAAAGCAUUGAAGGCCAAUUGGGAUGCUAAUAUGAUUGAGUAAGUUGACACUGGAAGGUACAUCAGACCAACAGAGUAUAGAUAACAAAUCGCUGCUGCGAUUAGGCCAAGAACCAAGUAAACCGAGGCAACAGUUAACAUAGAAGGCUUUUUUGAUUGAAGAGGAAGAGUAUUAGUAUUCAUGUAACUGUUGUGAUUGUUUUCGAUUUUAUACUUCUUUUUUCGGAAGAGAUAGUAAGGAAGAAGAAUUGGAAAGCCAGCUAGCUGUACAAGUGAUCCCAUCCAUUUACUCUUUCCACCUUUCUCAUAAUACAAUCUCCCUAAUAAGGUUGCUGCUGCCUGGCCAGAGAGAACAAGGAAUGAAUAAAACCCGAUUCGAAUCCAAAAUACUUGUUUUCUGGUUUGGUGACUAGUUGAUUGGUUGGAUUCAUUUACAUGGCCAUGGGAAUCUCCUUCAUUAGCUUCCUCAGCUGGUU